rnacentral:rRNA from 1 species
CAGUAGCCACGGUAAUACGAAGGGGGCUAGCGUUGCUCGGAAUUACUGGGCGUAAAGCGUGCGUAGGUGGUGGUUUAAGUCCGUUGUGAAAGCCCUGGGCUCAACCUGGGAAUUGCAGUGGAUACUGGGUCACUAGAGUGUGGUAGAGGAUAGUGGAAUUUCCGGUGUAGCAGUGAAAUGCGUAGAGAUCGGAAGGAACAUCUGUGGCGAAGGCGACUAUCUGGGCCAACACUGACACUGAGGCACGAAAGCGUGGGGAGCAAACAGGAUUAGAGACCCCCGUAGUCCCUGUCUCUUAUAC